AGAGUUUGAUCCUGGCUCAGGAUGAACGCUGGCGGCGUGGAUAAGGCAUGCAAGUCGUGUGGGUUUAGGCCCACGGCAAACGGGUUCGUAAUGCAUAGGAACAUUCCCAAAAGUCGUGAAUAAUCCGGAGAAAUCCGGAAUAAUACACGAUGUGCUCUACGGAGUAAAGAUUUAUCGCUUUUGGAGUGGCCUGUGUCCUAUCAGCUUGUUGGUGAGGUAAUGGCUCACCAAGGCUAUGACGGGUAGGGGACGUGAGAGCGUGAUCCCCAACAUUGGGACUGAGACACUGCCCAAACUCCUACGGGAGGCUGCAGUCGAGAAUAUUUGUCAAUGCGCGAAAGCGUGAACGAGCGACGCCGCGUGCAGGAUGAAGGCCCUUGGGUCGUAAACUGCUUUUCUUAGGGAAGAAUGUAAUGACGGUACCUAAGGAAUAAGAGGUUACUAACUCUGUGCCAGCAGUAGCGGUAAUACAGAGACCUCAAGCGUUAUCCGGAUUUAUUGGGCGUAAAGCGCAGGUAGGCGGAAAUAUUAGUCAGAUGUCAAAUCUUCGAGCUCAACUCGAAAACUGCAUUUGAAACGGUAUUUCUAGAGAGUGUGAGAGACCAGUGGAACUUAUGGUGUAGCAGUGAAAUGCGUUGAUAUCAUAGGGAACACCAAAGGCGAAGGCAUCUGGUUGGCGCACUUCUGACGCUGAGCUGCGAAAGCGUGGGUAGCGAAUGGGAUUAGAUACCCCAGUAGUCCACGCCCUAAACGAUGCAUACUUGGCAUUUCGGGAAUCGACCCCCAAAGUGUCGUAGCUAACGCGUUAAGUAUGCCGCCUGGGAAGUACGAGCGCAAGCUUAAAACUCAAAGGAAUAGACGGGGAUCCGCACAAGAGGUGGAUCAUGUGGUUUAAUUCGUCGGUAAGCGAGGAACCUCACCAGGGUUUGAAACCUAGCUGCAUUAUCCAGAAAUGGAUAAGCCUUAGAGGGUGCUAGGCAGGUGUUGCAUGGUUGUCGUCAGCUCGUGUCGUAAGAUGUUCCGUUAAGUCGGGAAACGAGCGCAACCCCUUUCGUGUGUUAUACAUGUCACACGAUACUGCCCCAUACUUUGCGCACGGCGCAAAGUAAUGACCAAUUACCAAUUUCCAAUAACCAAAUAAUUUCCAAUAACCAAAUAUCAAAUUCCAAAAAAGUUUGAUUAUUGAUUAUUGAAAUUUGAAAUUUGUUUGGUGAUUGUAUUUUGUGAUUUGGAAUUUACUUUGUUCGCCGCGAACAAAGUAUGGGGAGGAAGGAGGGGAUGACGCCAAAUCCGCAUGGCCCUUUGACACCCUGGGCAACACACGUGAUACAAUGGCUGGUUACAAAGGGUUGCCAAGUCGCGAGAUGGAGCUAAUCCCAGAAAACCAGUCCCAGUUCGGAUAGGAGUCUGCAACUCGACUCCUUGAAGCCGGAAUCUCUAGUAAUCGUGAAUCAUAACGUCACGGUGAAUACGUUCUCG
rnacentral:rRNA from 1 species